rnacentral:tRNA from 1 species
GCCUCUGUAGCUCAGUUGGUUAGAGCGCUGCAUCAGAAUCGCAGGGCCGUAGGUUCGAUUCCUGUCAGAGGAA